rnacentral:rRNA from 1 species
AUUGAACGCUGGCGGCAGGCCUAACACAUGCAAGUCGAGCGGCAGCGGGAAAGUAGCUUGCUACUUUUGCCGGCGAGCGGCGGACGGGUGAGUAAUGCCUGGGAAAUUGCCCAGUCGAGGGGGAUAACAGUUGGAAACGACUGCUAAUACCGCAUACGCCCUACGGGGGAAAGCAGGGGACCUUCGGGCCUUGCGCGAUUGGAUAUGCCCAGGUGUGAUUAGCUAGUUGGUGAGGUAAUGGCUCACCAAGGCGACGAUCCCUAGCUGGUCUGGGAGGAUGAGCAGCCACACUGGAACUGAGACACGGUCCAGACUCCUACGGGAGGCAGCAGUGGGGAACAUUGCACAAUGGGGGAAACCCUGAUGCAGCCAUGCCGCGUGUGUGAAGAAGGCCUUCGGGUUGUAAAGCACUUUCAGCGAGGAGGAAAGGUCAGUAGCUAAUACCUGCUGGCUGUGACGUUACUCGCAGAAGAAGCACCGGCUAACUCCGUGCCAGCCGCCGCGGUAAAAC